UGGUGUGUGUUCUGGUCGUAGACAACACAGGGGGCGAACAAGCUUCCUUCAACCAAACCCUAACUAGCCAAAAAUCAAGCAAUUGGAAGGCCAAAUCAGUCCCAAAUCGAAAUCCAAGCUUAUUUUAGUGACCACCUAAGUGAAGGGAUCACAAGUUUGACUCUGACAAGCUAGGUAGGAGCUUGGAAAUGAACGGGUCAAAUGGAUACAAGUUCAAGUAUGAAGCUCGCAAGGAUGCAAGGAGUGAACCGGAAGUGGAUAAUUGUGUCGCUAUAAAGUAGCGGCUAAUAAAAGCAAGGUA